UCUAUUUUCAGCAAUAGGUUAAUUCCACUCAUAUUUAGUUGGGCGCUAAAACAUCAUAACUGGUUGGUUGUCUCUCGUUGAUAAAAUGUCCUACGCCAUAAUUAAGCCAUAUAGUGCUUUUGUCUCAAACUUGCAAUUUCGUUUGUAAAUAUUUUAUAUCAUUAGAAUGGGUUUAUAACAAAUGUAUAAUUUUGUUGCAUGUAUACACUUACCCGCCUUUCCGUAGAUAUGCAUUUGUUGCAGUGAAGCAAAAUACGGUGUGCGUGUACAGUAAUAUUGCAAUGAAAUUUGCCAUUAAUGUUCCUUGCUGAAGACCACGCAUUAAAGACUGUCAACAAUAGUAUAAGAGGUGGAG